rnacentral:misc_RNA from 1 species
CUCUUUAACUAAUGGUGAAAAACAAGGCAACUCUUCAAACGUAAGGUGCUGUUAAAAUUGAUUAAUAAUUUUGGGCCUGAAGGCGGAAAGAUGGUGACACCGACAUCACCAACCAAGCUCUGAAAUCAGUUAGGGAAAAAGGGUGUAAUAAUUGAAUCACGUGAGCCCUUGGUUGGUCACGGUUCGGAAACGUGUUACGCGGUUCGUGAAUCGUAGUCAAAAAGGGGUCCAAGCUGUCGAGAACACGAACAGUAUAGGCUAUACUGUAUAGCUUAGCUAGACAGCUGGAUUAUUUUGUUCCGUACGACUUAUUUUUGUUCUUCUUCAACAUUUGUCGACUUCUUCACUCUCUCUCUUUAUACUUGUACUAUAAUAGUAUUUUAAUUCGGAAUUAAUUGUGGCAUUUAUU